rnacentral:rRNA from 1 species
GACGAACGCUGGCGGCAUGCCUAACACAUGCAAGUCUAGGGGUAGCAAUACCACUGGCGCACGGGUGAGUAACACGUAGGUUAUCUGCCCCCAUCACAGACAUAACCCCGGGAAACCCGGGGCUAAUAUCUGAUGAGGUCGCGAGAUCAAAGACUUCGGCGGAUGGGGAGUGAGCCUGCGGCUGAUUAGCUAGUUGGUGAGGUAAUGGCUCACCAAGGCGACGAUCAGUAGCUGGUCUGAGAGGACGAACAGCCACACUGGAACUGAGACACGGUCCAGACUCCUACGGGAGGCAGCAGUGAGGAAUAUUGGUCAAUGGGAGGCAAUCUUGAACCAGCAAUGCCGCGUGUGGGA